rnacentral:rRNA from 1 species
GGAUUAGAUACCCUGGUAGUCCACGCCGUAAACGAUGCGUACUAGAUUGGGGAGGUUUUGACGCCAUCCCGGUCGAAGCAAAAGUGUUAAGUACGCCGCCUGGGGAGUACGGUCGCAAGACUAAAACUCAAAGGAAUUGACGGGGGCUCACACAAGCGGUGGAGCAUGUGGCUUAAUUCGAAACAACGCGAAGAACCUUAUCCUGGGUUUGACAUGGUUGGAUUAGCUCGGUGAAAGUCGAGUGACGCGUUUACGUGGAACAACCACAGGUGCUGCAUGGCUGUCGUCAGCUCGUGCCG